rnacentral:lncRNA from 1 species
CCUUUAGAAUUAUGGAAGCUAGAUAAAAUUCUCAAGAUUUAUCUCCUGCUCGUAAACCUUUAUGUUGGAUGAAUGGCCCUUCACUUCCUCCCAUAUGGGGCAUGCUAGUGUAUGCAUGUUGAUGGACCUUAAUAACACUAUAUGCUCAGGAGUUAGGGUGAAGGUUCAAGAUGCAUUUCUACGGCAGCAAUUUAUCUAUGAAAAACUUCCUAUUGUGGUAUUGGAGUCAUGACCCUAGAGGCCUUUGCUCGGCUUCUAACGGAUUAGAUGUUCACGUAUUUGGUCCC